UACGUAGGCAGCAAGCGUUGUUCGGAGUUACUGGGCGUAAAGGGUGUGUAGGCGGUUGUUUAAGUUUGGUGUGAAAUCUCCCGGCUCAACUGGGAGGGUGCGCCGAAUACUGAAUGACUAGAGUGCGGGAGAGGUGAGUGGAAUUCCUGGUGUAGCGGUGAAAUGCGUAGAUAUCAGGAGGAACAUCAGUUGCGAAGGCGGCUCUCUGGACCAGCACUGACACUGAGGCACGAAAGCGUGGGGAGCAAACAGG
rnacentral:rRNA from 1 species